rfam:Echinostoma caproni strain Egypt genome assembly, scaffold: ECPE_scaffold0017063
GCACUGCUGAUGAGUCCAAAACGGGACGAAACGGCUGUCCAGCGC